rnacentral:rRNA from 1 species
UCCCAGACUCCUACGGGAGGCAGCAGUGAGGAAUAUUGGUCAAUGGGCUUACGCCUGAACCAGCCAAGUCGCGUGAGGGAAGACUGCCCUACGGGUUGUAAACCUCCUUUGUCGGGGAGCAAAGAGAGUCACGUGUGACUCAUUGAGAGUACCCGAAGAAAAAGCAUCGGCUAACUCCGUGCCAGCAGCCGCGGUAAUACGGAGGAUGCGAGCGUUAUCCGGAUUUAUUGGGUUUAAAGGGUGCGUAGGCGGUUUUUUAAGUUAGUGGUUAAACGUCGGGGCUUCACCUUGAUUUGCCAUUAAUACUGUAAGACUCGAGUUCAGACGAGGUAGGCGGAAUAAGUUAAGUAGCUGUGAAAUGCUUAUAUAUAACUUAGAACUCCGAUAGCGAAGGCAGCUUACCAGACUGCGACUGACGCUGAAGCACUAGAGCGUGGGUAGCGAACAGUAUUAGAUACCCGUGUAU